rnacentral:misc_RNA from 1 species
AUAGAUUGCCAUUGUAGCACUGAUGCAAUAAUGUUAAAUGCAAAUAAGCAGAAGAACUAAACCAAAGUAGUGCAACAAAGUAAAUUGUCAGUGCCAUAGAUUGACCCUAGGUUGCAUUGGAAAGAAAGUGAACAUUAAUGCAAUGUCACAAUGUUCAAUAGUCUACUUCUAACAAAUGAGCAUUGUAUACUCUAACCUAUUACUUUUGGAAUAGGGUAGAGGAAUAGAAUAUAUAUCUAUAUCUGACAUGG